rnacentral:tRNA from 1 species
AGCUGAGUGGUCUAAUGGUAUGAUUCUCGCUUAGGGUGCGAGAAGUCCUGGGAUCGAUCCCGACUCAGCUU